rnacentral:lncRNA from 1 species
UAAUCAGAAUUCUGGGGAGGUUGGAUGGGGUUAGUGUUCCGAAUUUUGUGGGAUUCAGUGGGUAGUUGAGGGAAGUGGGGAGUUUUAAUUAAUUUUUAUUUUUCCCAAAAUUCCUUUUUCUCUCUCACGUUGUUCACUUUUUUUCCAAUUCCUUUUCUGUUGUUUCUUCUUUUUGUUUUCUAAAUUCUAUUUAUUCUUUAAUCGUUUUACUUUUUCUUCUUUUGUUGGCCUCAACUUGUGCUACUUCUUUGCUAUUUUUCUAUUCUCCAAAUUAGUCUUUCUU